GUGCUCACUUCGGCGGCACAUACACUAAAAUUGGAAAGAUACAGAGAAGAUUAGCAUGCCCUUGCGCAAGGAUGACAUGCAAAUUUGUGAAGCUUUCCAUAUUAAA
ensembl:snRNA U6 U6 spliceosomal RNA